GUUUGCGUGGCGCAGUGGUAGCGCGUCGUUCUUAUAACACAUUUUCGAAUGGGUUAUGAUUGGUUUCAUUGGAAGCAAUGCGAAUGUCGUGGGUUCGACCCCCACCGUGAACA
rnacentral:tRNA from 1 species